rnacentral:rRNA from 1 species
GCCUGAUGUAGCGACGCCUAGUGAGGGAGGACGGCAUAAGGGGUUGUAAACCUCUUUCAGUAGGAAGGGUGCGAAAGUGAUUAGUACCUGGUAAGAAGCGUAGGCUAACUACGUGCCAGCAGCCGCGGGAUAUACGUAGGUUAGCAAGCGUGGGCCGGAUUGGUUGGGCGUAAAGAGCUCGUAGGCGGUAUCGCGUCUGCAAUGAAAGUCAAAGGCUCAUUGCUCGGAUGGGCGGUGGGUACGGGCAGACUUAAAGUGAUGUCCGGGAGAUAGAAUUCCUGGGGUGUAGCGGUCCAAUGCGCAGAUAUCAGGAUACACCGCCGGCGAAGGUUAGGUCUCUGGUGCAUUUACUGACGCUGAGGAGCGAAAGCAUUCUGGAAGAGCGAUUGGAUUAGACCACCCUGGUAUGUCCAUGCCGCGAACGUUGCCGCACUAGGUAAGGGAGGGACAUCACAACGUCCUUGUCCGCGCCGUAUUUAACGCAUCCAGUGCCCCGCCUGGGGAGUUCGGCCGGUAGGCUAAGAACGGCAACAGGAGGUGACGGGGGCUCCGCA